rnacentral:rRNA from 1 species
UUUAUGGAGAGUUUGAUCCUGGCUCAGGAUGAACGCUGGCGGCGUGCCUAAUACAUGCAAGUCGAGCGAACGGACGAGAAGCUUGCUUCUCUGAUGUUAGCGGCGGACGGGUGAGUAACACGUGGAUAACCUACCUAUAAGACUGGGAUAACUUCGGGAAACCGGAGCUAAUACCGGAUAAUAUUUUGAACCGCAUGAUUCAAAAGUGAAAGACGGUCUUGCUGUCACUUAUAGAUGGAUCCGCGCUGCAUUAGCUAGUUGGUAAGGUAACGGCUUACCAAGGCAACGAUGCAUAGCCGACCUGAGAGGGUGAUCGGCCACACUGGAACUGAGACACGGUCCAGACUCCUACGGGAGGCAGCAGUAGGGAAUCUUCCGCAAUGGGCGAAAGCCUGACGGAGCAACGCCGCGUGAGUGAUGAAGGUCUUCGGAUCGUAAAACUCUGUUAUUAGGGAAGAACAUAUGUGUAAGUAACUGUGCACAUCUUGACGGUACCUAAUCAGAAAGCCACGGCUAACUACGUGCCAGCAGCCGCGGUAAUACGUAGGUGGCAAGCGUUAUCCGGAAUUAUUGGGCGUAAAGCGCGCGUAGGCGGUUUUUUAAGUCUGAUGUGAAAGCCCACGGCUCAACCGUGGAGGGUCAUUGGAAACUGGAAAACUUGAGUGCAGAAGAGGAAAGUGGAAUUCCAUGUGUAGCGGUGAAAUGCGCAGAGAUAUGGAGGAACACCAGUGGCGAAGGCGACUUUCUGGUCUGUAACUGACGCUGAUGUGCGAAAGCGUGGGGAUCAAACAGGAUUAGAUACCCUGGUAGUCCACGCCGUAAACGAUGAGUGCUAAGUGUUAGGGGGUUUCCGCCCCUUAGUGCUGCAGCUAACGCAUUAAGCACUCCGCCUGGGGAGUACGACCGCAAGGUUGAAACUCAAAGGAAUUGACGGGGACCCGCACAAGCGGUGGAGCAUGUGGUUUAAUUCGAAGCAACGCGAAGAACCUUACCAAAUCUUGACAUCCUUUGACAACUCUAGAGAUAGAGCCUUCCCCUUCGGGGGACAAAGUGACAGGUGGUGCAUGGUUGUCGUCAGCUCGUGU